UACGUAGGGGGCAAGCGUUGUCCGGAUUCAUUGGGCGUAAAGAGCGUGUAGGCGGCCAGAUAGGUCAGCUGUGAAAACUCGAGGCUCAACCUCGAGACGUCGGUUGAAACCAUCUGGCUAGAGUCCGGAAGAGGAGUGUGGAAUUCCCGGUGUAGCGGUGAAAUGCGCAGAUAUCAGGAAGAACACCCGUGGCGAAGGCGGUUCUCUGGGACGGUACUGACGCUGAGACGCGAAAGCGUGGGGAGCGAACAGG
rnacentral:rRNA from 1 species